ACCCUACAACAAUCUCUCACUUGGACUACUUUCACACCUGGUACAUAUGUAUAAUAGAAACCAAAAUUUCAUGAAAUAUUUACCGUGUGUACAGGAUUUUCCAGUAUUUUUCAAUUUAUUCUGUUCUAAAAAAAAAAACACACCUAGAAAAAGUACUCACAAAUACAGGAGUCUGGGUAAGUAAUAUAAGUGAUUAAAAGGGAGGGAUGGGAGACUUUCUUGGUGGUCCAGUGGUUAAUCCACCUUCCAGUUCAGGGGACACAGGUUUGAUCCCUGGUCAGAGAACUAAGAGCCCAAAUGCCUCGCACCACAAGUACUGAGCCCUCACUUAGAGAGCCUGUGUGCCUCAACGGAAGAUCCUGUGUGCUCCAACUAAGAACCAACACAGCCAAAUAAAAAAAUUUUUAAGGGGAGAGAUGAGACUUCCCUGGUGGUCCAAUGGUUAAGACUCCACCCUUCCAUUGCAGGGGGCACAGUUCAAUCCCCAGUCGGGGAUCAUCCUGCAUACCUCAUGGUACAGGGUAAAAAAAAAAACAUGGGAGGGAUGUAAGAAGAGCAGCCCAAACAUGAUGGUUACUGGUAUGUGGCACUGGGCCUCAGUGUCUGGGGGACAAUAGGGAAUCUAGGAACCUUGGAACCAGAGAGCACAGGCCCUGUCUACAGGGAACAGUCACUAUUCAACUGAAACAAUCGCCAGCUUGAAUGCCCAGUGUUACCAUAUCUUUUGAAUUUAGAACAAGUGACAAGACAUUUUUGUAUAACCUCUCAACUUUUAAGUGUUGUCCACUCAUUUCAAAAAUUGUAGGGGCUUCCCUGGUGGUCCAGUGAUUAUGAAUCCACCUUGCAAUGCAUGGGAAACCGGUUCGAUUCCUGGUCUGGGAAGAUCCCACAUGCCAUGGAACAGCUAAGCCCGUGUGCCACAACCACUAAGCCUGAGCUCUAGAGCCAGGGAGCCACAACUACUGAAGCCUAAGCACCUUAGAGCCCAUGUCCUGCAACAUGAGAAGCCACUGCAGUGAGAAGUCGGAGUGCCCCGACUCACCACAAAUUGAGAAAGCCAGAGCAAGGCCACAAAGACCCAGCGCAGCCAAUUAAAAAUAAAUUUUUUUUUAAUGUGUCAGUAUAUGCCAAGGCAAUAGAUCCACCAGAUGUUGACCUUGGCCUGCAAUUAGCAGCUUCUAAAUUAAGAAAACUAACUUCCCAGGGAAUGAAACUCAACUAAAUCUCAAAGAGAUUGUAUGUCACUACAUUUUGACCUGUAGUUCAAACUCUAGUUUGAACCAAGGACAUAAAGGUGAAAGAUUCUUUGCCUUGGAAUUUUCCUGCCUUUAAAAAAAAAAAAAGGUUCCAGUUUCCAUCUUUUGCCAGUUAUUUAGUUCCUUAUCAACUAUAUCACCAAAUGGCCUGCCUGCCAUCACCAAGGCUAAAGUGAUACUUUCUUUGGACACUCUAGUUUUAGUGUCUCAGCCAAAGACAGGUUUGUUCACUUACCUCCUUUACUAGAGGUAAAUGAGGUCAAUAAACAGCCUAUCAUUUGCCCUCAGCAUCCAUCCAAUCACUCUUCUCCAAAGUUAAAUUUCUGUUGUGGCUGUCUUUGUUCCUGCCAAGUUGGAGCAGUGGAUCUGAAGAAUCAAAUUUGUAUUUUCUUGGAUAACUUAAAAGAAAAUACAAAAUUUCUCACCCGGACAUGUGUGUGUGUGAGACUGACUCACCCCUCAGUUAAUUGGGGCUAAUUAUGACCAGCCUGACUUGUCACUACAAAACAUCUGGCAUAACUCGCUUACUCUCAGACAGGGGAGCUGCCUCCACCCUCUGAGCACGUGCUUACUCCUGAAGCUCACCAUCUUGAAAACAAAGUGUAUGUCUUUCAACCUGUGAUUAUUCAACAUAGGAGGAGACUCUGGAAUGCUUGAGUAGGAACUCAGCUCACAAUUAAGCCCUGACAAGAGGAAAUCACACGUUGAGGAGAGCAAAAAACGUCCACCUUACCACAUGAUAAAUGGAGACUUCAGCAGUUAAGAAUGCGAUAUUGGUCCAGACUGGUAUGUUUUCAGCAUUGCAGGAGAGAUUGGAAUAAAUGCUGGAAUACGCAGAAAUUCAACACCUUCUUUCCAGGGAUUCACUCCUCCUUCAGCCUGCACUGAAUGCACAUGUAGGAUGCAAUUUGACCAGGACUGUGACCUUUAAGAACAGCAACUAUUUGAGACGGUGGCUCAGACGGUAAAGUGUCUGCCUACAAUGCGGAAGACCCAGGUUCAAUCUCUGGAUGGGGAAGAUCUCCUGGAGAAGGAAAUGGCAACCCACUCCGUUAUUCUUGCCUUAAAAAUCCCAUGGACGGAGGAGCCUGGUAGGCUACAGUCCAUGGGGUUGCAAAGAGUCGGACACGACUGAGCGACUUCACUUUCUUUCACUUAACAUACAGUAUCAGAUUUAAUCCCCAUACGAUCUCCAUUUUAAGGAUUAGAAAACGUUUUGAUGAUGUAAAGAGAUUUACUGCCAUUAAAUCAAGAUAAAACGGUUGGUGGCAGAACUGGGAUUCAAACCCACUGAUUUCCACAGCGGCCUCCAAUAAAUGACUACAAAUACCA